rnacentral:ncRNA from 1 species
UUGUUCUCAGGGCGGGGUGUGAUUCCCCACCGGCGGUAAGGUCAUUCACCCGAUGUGGGUGGUCAAGCCCGCGAGCGCCACAUUUUCCUUAUGGAGGGUGUGGGUCAGCAGAUCCGGUGAGAUUCCGGAGCCGACGGUCAUAGUCCGGAUGAAAGAGAAC